CGCUGGCGGCGUGGCUAAUACAUGCAAGUCGAACGAAGCACCUGGCGACGGAGUCCCUUCGGGGGUGAAGAUGCUUGUGACUGAGUGGCGGACGGGUGAGUAACGCGUGGGUAACCUGCCUAUGCAGGGGACAACAGUUGGAAACGACUGCUAAUACCGCAUAAGCGCACGGCACCGCAUGGUGCAGUGUGAAAAGAUUUAUCGGCAUAAGAUGGACCCGCGUCUGAUUAGGUAGUUGGUGAGGUAACGGCCCACCAAGCCGACGAUCAGUAGCCGACUUGAGAGAGUGAUCGGCCACAUUGGGACUGAGACACGGCCCAGACUCCUACGGGAGGCAGCAGUAGGGAAUAUUGCACAAUGGGGGAAACCCUGAUGCAGCGACGCCGCGUGAGUGAUGAAGUAUUUCGGUACGUAAAGCUCUAUCAGCAGGGAAGAUAAUGACGGUACCUGACUAAGAAGCCCCGGCUAACUACGUGCCAGCAGCGGC
rnacentral:rRNA from 1 species